ACUCCACUUCUCUCACCUCCUUCUCCUCAGGAAUCAGGUGCACCUGUGACCCCAAGCCAUGUCCUGCUGCAAGCCCUGUGACCCCUGUGGCCAGUCCUGUGGCCCCUGCCCACUGGCCAGCAGCUGCAAUGAGUGCUGUGUCAGGCAGUGCCAGAGCUCCCACGUUGUCAUUGAGCCACCUGCUGUGCUGGUGACCCUGCCCGGCCCCAUCCUCAGCUCCUCCCCACAGAACACCGCCGUGGGAUCCUCCACCUCUGCUGCUGUUGGCAACAUCCUCAGCUGUGGCGGAGUGCCCAUCAGCUCUGGGGGCUUUGACAUCUCCUGCAUCACCAACUGCUUUGGGAGCAGCAGAUGCCGUCCCUGCUAAAUCUGCUGGCAAUGUCUUCCAACAUGAACGCCCGAUACUUCAAAGCCUGGUUUUGGACAGGAGAUAGAGUUUCAGAAAAUCGUAUUUCAAGCUUUGGAUCAUCUCAUCUUUGUUCUAUUCUCCUCUCCUUUUCUGUCCCUCACUCCCCAAGGCAGUCUAGUGUGGAUCUGCCUUUCUUUCUACCUCUGCAGGGCAGUGCAAAGUAUACCACAAGGGAGUGCCAUCAUAGUGGCUGCUCCUGGUGCUCUCUGUGGCCCAUCUCUUUUUCUUCUUUCAACUUAUUAAAAUUGUUUUGCAUUCAA